CCUACGGGAGGCUGCAGUGAGGAAUAUUGGUCAAUGGCCGAGAGGCUGAACCAGCCAAGUCGCGUGAGGGAUGACGGCCCUACGGGUUGUAAACCUCUUUUGUCGGGGAGCAAAGCGCCCCACGUGUGGUUCAUUGAGAGUACCCGGAGAAAAAGCAUCGGCUAACUCCGUGCCAGCAGCCGCGGUAAUACGGAGGAUGCGAGCGUUAUCCGGAUUUAUUGGGUUUAAAGGGUGCGCAGGCGGAGGUGCAAGUCAGCGGUAAAAUUGCGGGGCUCAACCCCGUACUGCCGUUGAAACUGCAUCCCUUGAGUGCGCGAGAAGUACGCGGAAUGCGUGGUGUAGCGGUGAAAUGCAUAGAUAUCACGCAGAACUCCGAUUGCGAAGGCAGCAUACCGGCGCGCAACUGACGCUCAUGCACGAAAGCGUGGGUAUCGAACAGGAUUAGAUACCCCUGUAGUC
rnacentral:rRNA from 1 species